rnacentral:tRNA from 1 species
GGAGGGGUGGGUGAGCGGCUGAAACCAGGGCUUUGCUAAAGCUCCGUACGUGUCAAAGCGUACCGAGGGUUCGAAUCCCUCCCCCUCCGCCA